CUUGAUUUUACAACAACAAACUAUUUGUUUAAAUCUUUUCCUCUCAAAAUUCUAUUCCCUACGGCCUCCCUCUCUCAAAAGCAAAAUAUUCCCCUUCCCCAAUUCCUCAAGCAGCUUUGAACAAGAAUGGAUUUUUCAAAUUCUCAACUUUUGUGCCACACCAUUUGAAAGGAAUGCUGAAAAUGUCUUCCAUACCUUUGUUCUUAUGGAAAAUAACGGACGAGGACAUGAAUUAUUAGUUUUUUUUUCUUGUAAAAGUUUAUUUAUAUGUUUCACUAUUUUAAAUGUAUUUUGUUGAAAUUUAUUAAAUCUCUUCUCUAAUAUAUUGUAUUUUUAGUACACUUUAAGAUAUUUUGUUAUAAUUCUCUAUAUGUUUCAUUUCAA